UGCGAUAAGCGCCGGUAAGGUGAUAUGAACCGUUAUAACCGGCGAUACCCGAAUGGGGAAACCCAGUGUGACUCGUCACACUAUCAUUAACUGAAUCCAUAGGUUAAUGAGGCGAACCGGGGGAACUGAAACAUCUAAGUACCCCGAGGAAAAGAAAUCAACCGAGAUUCCCUCAGUAGCGGCGAGCGAACGGGGAGGAGCCCAGAGCCUGAAUCAGCAUGUGUGUUAGUGGAAGCGUCUGGAAAGGCGCGCGAUACAGGGUGACAGCCCCGUACACAAAAGCGCAUAUGCUGUGAGCUCGAUGAGUAGGGCGGGACACGUGGUAUCCUGUCUGAAUAUGGGGGGACCAUCCUCCAAGGCUAAAUACUCCUGACUGACCGAUAGUGAACCAGUACCGUGAGGGAAAGGCGAAAAGAACCCCGGUGAGGGGAGUGAAAAAGAACCUGAAACCGUGUACGUACAAGCAGUGGGAGCACCCUUUGGGGUGUGACUGCGUACCUUUUGUAUAAUGGGUCAGCGACUUAUAUUCUGUAGCAAGGUUAACCG
rnacentral:rRNA from 2 species